rnacentral:tRNA from 1 species
GAGGGUAUAGCUCAGUCGUAGAGCAUGUGCUUAGCAUGCAGAAGGUCCUGGGUUCAAUCCCCAGCACCUCCA